AGAGUUUGAUCCUGGCUCAGGAUGAACGCGGCGGCGUGCCUAACACAUGCAAGUCGAGCGAGAAUUCCAUAAUUGAAGCUUCGGUUGAUUUUAUGGAAGGAAAGCGGCGGACGGGUGAGUAACGCGUAGGCAACCUACCUCUUGCAGAGGGAUAGCCUCGGGAAACCGGGAUUAAAACCUCAUAAUGCUGGGUUUAGACAUCUUUACCCAGCCAAAGAUUUAUCGGCAAGAGAUGGGCCUGCGUCUGAUUAGUUAGUUGGUGGGGUAACGGCCUACCAAGGCGACGAUCAGUAGCCGACCUGAGAGGGUGAUCGGCCACAUUGGAACUGAGACACGGUCCAAACUCCUACGGGAGGCAGCAGUGGGGAAUAUUGCACAAUGGGCGAAAGCCUGAUGCAGCAACGCCGCGUGAAGGAAGAAGGCCUUUGGGUCGUAAACUUCUGUUCUAAGGGAAGAUAAUGACGGUACCUUAGGAGCAAGUCCCGGCUAACUACGUGCCAGCAGCCGCGGU
rnacentral:rRNA from 1 species